UUGUUAUUUUUCUUUUCCUAGUUUUUGUACAGGCCAAUAAAUUGCAGCAACAUAUCUUUGCUGUCCAUGGGCAAGAGGAUAAAAUUUACGAUUGUUCCCAGUGCCCGCAGAAGUUCUUCUUUCAGACCGAACUUCAGAACCACACGUUGAGCCAGCACGCUCAGUGAGCCCCCGACUCGACGGGACACCUCUCUGCAGAAGACUUGACGGAAACUCAGUGGGGAGGACCAUUUGAACAUUACAUCCAAUCAAAGUGUCAUUUGCAACCCAGAUGUAAAACUCUAAUGAUUUGGCCAUGAGGCGCUGCUAUUAUAAGCAGCUGGAAAUGAAUAUUAAUGGAAGAGAUUAAAAGUAUUCCAUGCGCAGUAUUUUUUAUUGUCCUGCUUGAGCUUAGUGUACUUUAAAAGCUUCUGCUUCUGACUGGAUUUAUAGUUGCUAGAUAGGAAGCUGCUUUGAUGCUCUUGCCCUUUGUUGCUUCUUGUAUUAUACGGAUAGUUCCAAGAUUUUAGAAGUGAUUUUUUUUCUCCCUUCUUUGCUUUGCUUUCCUUUUCUUUCCCCUCCUCCUUCCCUGUUUAACUGCUUUUUAAUUGCAAUUUUAGGUAAUUGUGCAUUGUGAUGUGAUGGCUUGGCUAUUGUCUGAAUAUUUUUUUUACACUUUUUUGGAUUUUUUUUAAAAACAAUUAAAGACUAAUGCUUUGAUUGGAUUUGCCAGUUCACCGGACAGUGAUUAAAAAUAAAAAGAAACUAUGUAAUGAAUAUCAUCGGUUUCAGUGCAACUGGAUGGUCUGCUUUAUAAAUGUGACUUAAUCUGAUUGCAUUAACUAAUACAGUUCAAUAAAGGGAAUACAUUGGACAA